GAUGAACGCUGGCGGCGUGCUUAACACAUGCAAGUCGAACGAUAAAGCCCAGCUUGCUGGGUGGAUUAGUGGCGAACGGGUGAGUAACACGUGAGUAACCUGCCCUUGACUCUGGGAUAAGCCCGGGAAACUGGGUCUAAUACCGGAUAGGAGCGCCUGUCGCAUGACGGGUGUUGGAAAGAUUUUUCGGUCAUGGAUGGACUCGCGGCCUAUCAGCUUGUUGGUGAGGUAAUGGCUCACCAAGGCGACGACGGGUAGCCGGCCUGAGAGGGUGACCGGCCACACUGGGACUGAGACACGGCCCAGACUCCUACGGGAGGCAGCAGUGGGGAAUAUUGCACAAUGGGCGGAAGCCUGAUGCAGCGACGCCGCGUGAGGGAUGACGGCCUUCGGGUUGUAAACCUCUUUCAGUAGGGAAGAAGCGAAAGUGACGUACCUGCAGAAGA
rnacentral:rRNA from 1 species